AAAUAAAAUUGUUCCCAGUGGAGUGCUUGACAUUUUGAAAUUCGCGUCACAAUGUGGAACCAAAACAGUGCCGUUGCGAAGAUUGUAUAAUUUGUAUGGCCGCCACCGAUCGGAUCUCUCCCUCGCCACAGCAUCCUCACGUAAAUCUACAUGUAUAUACAUCACCAAGGCAGGAACUUGUUGUAGCGGUGAUGAGUGUGUUAUUCUGACAUGUAACAUUCCACCAGACCACCACAACCACAAGUACAGUAUGAAGUGGCAGUCAAACACACCACCACUACCACUACUACCACUACUACUACUACUACUAACAGUGUGUGGAAGCUGCCGGUCUCUCUCAGCAUCACUACGAUUUUGGGGACUGGACGGCAAUAGUGGUGCUGACGGCAGUACUGGAGUAUUAAGGAUGUUAGGCAGCCAUUAUACAGUGGUGGAUGGCGGGCUGGCUUCCACACUGCAGGCUGAGGGGUACGAGGUGGAUGGCGACCCAUUGUGGAGUGCUCGGCUGCUGGCAACACACCCAAGCGCCAUUAAAAAGGUACACACAUUAUUUUUAGAAGCAGGAGCAGAGGUGGUGGUGUGUGGCAGUUACCAGAGCAGUGUGCCAGGCUUCCAGCAGCUCCUUGGCACCACACAGAAAGUGGCACUGGCAACUUAUUGAACGCUCCGCCACUCUGGCACUCGAAGCUGUACAGGAGUUUGAGGGGAAGAGAGGAACUGGAGGUGAGGAGACAGGAGGAGGAGGAGGAAGGAGGACAAACAGGGAUGAGAAGGAAAGAUGGAAGAACAUUAAAGGAAAUGAGGAGAAGGGAUGAUAGAAGGGAGAGGGAAGAAAGCAAGGAGGAAGAGGAGGAGGAGAAAGGAAUGAGAAUAUGAAGAGAAGAUAGGAAGGAAAACAGGAAAUUGAGGAAAAGAGAAGAUGAGAUAGAGAAAGAGAGGGAAGUAGACUGGCUGGCUGGCUGGCUGACUAACUGACUGACUGACUGGCUGGCUGGCUGGCUGGCUGGCUGGCUGGCUGGCUGGCUGGCUGGCUGGCUGACUGACUGACUGACUGACUGACUGACUGACUG